rnacentral:rRNA from 1 species
ACCUUAAGGCAAGGUUUCAAACCCUUGACCACGGUAUAGUCAGCGACUGGGGUGAAGUCGUAACAAGGUAGCCGUAGGGGAACCUGCGGCUGGAUUACCUCCUUUCUAAGG